GGACCUGAGCUCAGGCAAGAUUACGGACUGAACUUAA
rnacentral:rRNA from 1 species